AUUUGAAGCCAGUGCCUACACUCUUAACUAUCACACUAUCCUAUGUUACCAAGAUUCAGACAGCAGCAGCAGACUCAAGUUGGAACAUGGAUGUUCCUGAAUGGUAAUUUUCUUUUAUUUUGAAUUACAUCCAUGGGAAGGACAGAGUGAUCCUCUUAGUGCUGUGGACAUCCUGACUCCAACCCUGACCUAGGAGUCCAUUGGGUAUUGGGUGUCGAUGAGCAUUUCCGAG
rnacentral:lncRNA from 1 species